CAGAGUUCAUGCCCUCACGGGUAGAUCUCCCACCCUAUGCUAUCAUUACCUUUGUUGCUUUGGCGGGCCGCCAGGCCUGGUCAGGCUACCGGCUCCGGCUGGUAAGCGCCCGCCAGAGGAUCCCAAACUCUGAAUGUUAGUGUCGUCUGAGUACUAUAUAAUAGUUA
rnacentral:misc_RNA from 1 species